rnacentral:rRNA from 1 species
GAGCAACGCCGCGUGAGGGAUGAAGGCCUCUGGGCUGUAAACCUCUUUUCUCAAGGAAGAAGACAUGACGGUACUUGAGGAAUAAGCCACGGCUAAUUCCGUGCCAGCAGCCGCGGUAAUACGGGAGUGGCAAGCGUUAUCCGGAAUUAUUGGGCGUAAAGCGUCCGCAGGCGGCCCUGUAAGUCUGUCGUUAAAGCGUGGAGCUUAACUCCAUUUAAGCGAUGGAAACUACAGGGCUUGAGUAUGGUAGGGGCAGAGGGGAUUCCCGGUGUAGCGGCGAAAUGCGUAGAUAUCGGGAAGAACACCAGUGGCGAAGGCGCGCUACUGGGCCGGAACUGACACUGAGGGACGAAAGCUAGGGGAGCGAAAGGGAUUAGAUACCCCUGUAGUCCUAGCCGUAAACGAUGGAAACUAGGCGUGGCUUGUAUCGACCCGAGCCGUGCCGAAGCUAACGCGUUAAGUUUCCCGCCUGGGGAGUACGCACGCAAGUGUGAAACUCAAAGGAAUUGACGGGGGCCCGCACAAGCGGUGGAGUAUGUGGUUUAAUUCGAUGCAACGCGAAGAACCUUACCAGGACUUGACAUGUCGCGAAUCUCGGUGAAAGCUGAGAGUGCCUUCGGGAGCGCGAACACAGGUGCUGCAUGGCUGUCGUCAGCUCGUGUCGUGAGAUGUUGGGUUAAGUCCCGCAACGAGCGCAACCCUCGUCCUUAGUUGCCAGCAUUCAGUUGGGCACUCUAGGGAGACUGCCGGUGACAAACCGGAGGAAGGUGAGGAUGACGUCAAGUCAGCAUGGCCCUUACGUCCUGGGCGACACACGUACUACAAUGGUAGGGACAAAGGGCAGCGACCCCGCGAGGGUAAGCGAAUCUCAUCAAACCCUGCCUCAGUUCAGAUUGCAGGCUGCAACUCGCCUGCAUGAAGGAGGAAUCGCUAGUAAUCGCCGGUCAGCAUACGGCGGUGAAUCCGUUCCCGGGCCUUGUACACACCACCCGUCACACCAUGGGAGCUGGCCACGCCCGAAGUCGUUACUCCAACCCCUUGUGGGAGGAGGAUGCCGAAGGCAGGGCUAGUGACUGGGGUGAAGUCGUAACAAGGUAGCCGUACCGGAAGGUG